rnacentral:rRNA from 1 species
UACGUAGGGGGCAAGCGUUGUCCGGAUUUAUUGGGCGUAAAGAGCGUGUAGGCGGCUUGGUAAGUCCGCUGUGAAAGUCCAGGGCUCAACCCUGGAAUGCCGGUGGAAACUGUCGAGCUAGAGUCCGGAAGAGGCGAGUGGAAUUCCUGGUGUGGCGGUGAAAUGCGCAGAUAUCAGGAGGAACACCAAUGGCGAAGGCAGCUCGCUGGGACGGUACUGACGCUGAGACGCGAAAGCGUGGGGAGCAAACAGG